rnacentral:rRNA from 1 species
ACGGGUGCGGAACACGUACGCAACCUUCCUUUAAGCGGGGAAUAGCCCAGAGAAAUUUGGAUUAAUACCCCAUAAGAAUGUGACCUGGCAUCAGGUAGCAUUUAAAGAUUUAUCACUUAGAGAUGGGCGUGCGUCUGAUUAGGUAGUUGGUGAGGUAACGGCUCACCAAGCCGACGAUCAGUAACUGGCGUGAGAGCGCGACCAGUCACACGGGCACUGAGACACGGGCCCGACUCCUACGGGAGGCAGCAGUAAGGAAUAUUGGUCAAUGGACGGAAGUCUGAACCAGCCAUGCCGCGUGGAGGAUGACGGCCCUCUGGGUUGUAAACUUCUUUUAUCUGGGACGAAACACUCUUUAUCUAGGGAGCUUGACGGUACCAGGUGAAUAAGCACCGGCUAACUCCGUGCCAGCAGCCGCGGUAAUACGGAGGGUGCAAGCGUUAUCCGGAUUCACUGGGUUUAAAGGGUGCGUAGGUGGAUAUGUAAGUCCGUGGUGAAAUCUCCAAGCUUAACUUGGAAACUGCCCUGGAUACUAUAUGUCUUGAAUGUUGUGGAGGUUAGCGGAAUAUGUCAUGUAGCGGU